rnacentral:lncRNA from 10 species
CAGUUUCUUUAGGUUAUUUUAUUAUAUCAUUAUUUUUUGAGACAGGGUCUCACUCUGUCGCCCAUGCUGGACUGCACUGGUGCCAUCUUGGCUCACUGCAGCCUCAACUUCCCGGGCUCAAGCAAUCCUCUCAACACCCCCCACCCACUCCAGCAGCUGGGACUACAGGUGUGCACCACCACACCUGGGUAAUUUUUGCAUUAUUUGUAGAGACAGGGUUUCACCGCGUUCCACAGGCUGGUCUCAAACUCCUGAGCUCAAACAAUCCAUCUGUUUCAGCCUCUCAAAGUGCUGGAAUUACAGGCAUGAGCCACCAUCCCUGGGCCUUGAGCUUAUUUUAAUAAACAAAGCCACAGCAACAUUUCCUGACAUCCAUGAAUUGCAUAACUUUCCCACAGUCU